rnacentral:lncRNA from 1 species
UUGAACGAAGUUGCCUUGUAAACCAACUAAAACAUUAUCUUUUUUGAAUUUUCUCUAAAUUUGCAAGAAAGCUACUACUAUCAAAUCUUUCAAGUUAAAUUGUAAACAUAUUUUGCAAUGGUUGUUUUUCUCCUAUUCCACCAAUCCCUUCCCACAAAUCACUACUAUGCCAUCACCAUCUGACGCAUCCCGUAACCAAAUUAAAUAUUUUUCAACUCGAUAUUCCAUACCAAUCAGGUAGGGAGCAACAUACAAAACUGGGCGAUUCAACUUGUUCCCAAUUUCUUUGAUAAUUUUCUUGAUAAGUAUUGACUCAAACCUGCAAGUUGCAAUUAAAAUAUAAAUAAAGCUCAGAAAUCAAAGUCAUGUCUUCUAAUAGUAAUACUAACUAUUAACAAAAUAAAGUUUUGUAAGAUUAAGAAGAAAGUGUCAUGUCAUGUCAUGUAUUUAGGAAAAAAAUAAUAAAGAAACUAUAGAUGCUUAGCUUGAACAUGGUUAUUUAGAAAUAGCUAAUACGAAGCUUGCACGCAAAGAAUCUUUUAAGAAAAUUAUAACAAAUUGGUGGCUUACUUAAUUUACUUAAUUGUGCAACUGUUUUGAGGAAGACAUCAACAAUCACUAUUUGGGCUUUAGCCCGAUGACUUAGUUGCAACACGCGAAGAUGAAUUUAUUAUAAGAGAAUUUAUCAAAUUAAAUAUGUCUUACAAAAUGAUGGAAAAUCUAAAUAUAAAAUUCUAGGAUAUAAUUCACAUAAGAAUUUUACCAUUGGAAUCUGAACUCCUCUCUCCUCAAAGGAAGUGAAAUACUAUAAAAUUCUAAAUAUAACUCACUCAAGAAUUUUAUCAUUUGGUAUCUGAAUCCUAAUAAUUAUAGGAUUUGGCUUCUCCGAACUCUAGGAUUUUGGACUGUACUGGUGAAGUUCAUGCCUUUUGGGUCUCAUUUUAGAUUUAUUUUGAUGAUCUAAAUUGUUUGUAUUGUAAACUCCGUCGAAAAUAUCAAUAUUGUAAAAAAUCAAAUUGACUGGACAUAAUUCAGUAUCUGUUCAGUACUAUUUUAGAACGUAAUAAAUAAGUGUGACAUACGUGAUUAAAUACAUUUAUCUGAAUAUAAAUAAAUACUGAUCGACUAUUGAUCUGUAUCCUAUUGAUUUUUUCAGUAUUAAAAUUUUCGAUAAGAUCUACAAUAUGAAAUAGAUUCAAAAGACUUGAUCUACACCGGUGCAAUCGAUUUCAUAAAAAUAGACAGCAAAGAAGUCUAGUCCGUAAUCAUUUUCUCAUCUCACAUCCAUAUUCAAUUCUUAUCAUCCAAACACAACCUCUUAAAAAACAAAUAGUUCUUAUAAAUCUGGAUUAUUAUAAAAACGUGGGACCCGACAUCGGUUCCUCAACUCAUCCAAACACAACCUCUUAAAUAACCAAGCAAAAGUUUAAUGGGCCCGAAAACGACAGCCCAAAUCUGACAUAACCUUAGGGCCUGGUCAUGUGGUCCAUUAGGGUUUACCCUUCUAAUCCUCCAACUCACUCCUUGGAAUUUAAUUGUAUUAUACAUUUAAUUUAAUAUUUACAAGCGGGAUUAAAAGUUAAUUUUUUUUUAAAUAUUUAAAUAAUGAUUAAAUUAUCAUACAGAAUAUAUAUGCUAUACUGCUAUUCUUAAUAUAAAUAAAUAAAAUAAUUGUAUCAUUUCGUCAUGGUCCAUAAGGAUUUGUGUAAGUGAAAUUCUCUACCAUCACCACCCCAAAAAACAUCUAGAAUUUAAAAUUUAAAAUUUUAUUAAUUAUUAAAAUUAAUAUAUUCUAAUUAAAAUUUAUUAUGUGGUUAACGAUAUUGAAUUGAAUAUAUUUUUCUCCGAAGAAAAUAGUAAGAUAGAAUAAAAAAUAAAAACUAUAAAGAAGAAGGUGAAGGUAAUGGGUAUAUUGCAUUUUCAAUUUAAAAAAAAGUCAAAUAACAAUAGUAGAGAAGGGGCAAAAGUCGUCUUUUAGAAUUUUUUGUUAACAUUUUGUUUGAUCUUUGUAGUGGAGUUUGGCUGUGUACAUCAACUUCAAAAUCAAAAUAAAUAAAAAUAUCAAAUUGAAAAUUAUCACUUUUCAGUUCCAGUUUCUCUAAUUGCACUUCUUUUUUGUAUUUAUCAAGAAAAUUAAUCAAAUAACCUUGUAUUUAUAUUUUUAAAAUUAAUUUUGUUCAAAUAUGCUAAUUACAUAGGACAUUUUGGGUAAAUUCACUUAAUAACAACAAAAGAAAGUGAAAAAAGUGGGUAGUUAUUUUUUGAUUAACCACAGAGGGUCCUAAACAGGCAUUUGGACUCAUCCAGACUAAUCUCUGUGCCCUGAGCAGCUAGCCCUUCACACUUCAGGGUGUAAACGCAGAUAUGCGAUGCAGAUGCAGCCACCAGGAAUCGAACGCGAUACCUCCGAGUGUUAGUUAGUGUACUUGACGUCCGCCCGAAGCGACCACGCCUUGUGCCCGGGAGCGGGGGUGAGAAUCGAACCCAGGACCUAAGUCCUGGUAAGGUAGCCAUUUACCACUUGGGCUAAGACAAAAAGGCGCUAUUGAAUUAUUACAAUCCCUAACUAUUUCCAUAUUUACCCUUUCUUUAAGUUUAUUUUUAACUAAAAGUGAAUACUUCAAAUUCUUACCUUAAAUAAUAAUUAUUUUUUGGUUUGCUCCUCCAUUUGUUUUGCAUUCAUAGAUUGAUUGCUAAAGAUAUUUGUGGGAUUUGGUUGGAUUAACAACCAGAAGAUGUUUGUUUCACUUUUCUUGACUUCGACAUGUUUUGUAAAAUUAAAAAAAAUACUCGAAUACUAUAAAUAAUAAUCAAAUAAAUAAAAUUAUUUUAACAGUGUUUUGUACGGGGGAAUUAUUGGAAACCAAAAAAGUUUUUAUCAGGAUGAUGAAUUUAUUGUUGUUUAGGGUUCUGCUAGCAAGUGCAACUAUAUAUUUGGUUAGUUCAAUUAAAUUAGUCAAUUUUUACUUAGAGUGAUGACUUUUGAAUUUUAAUUAGUCACAAUCACAGCUCCCAGAUAAACUCACUACAUUAUUACAUUGUUGCUUAAAUCUAUUAGUUUACACAAUAUGCCCUUGAUUAAAAUAAUCUUUAAAUUGCAUAUAAUUACAAUAUUACAUGAAUCAAUGAAGUGGGUAAAGGUAUUAAUUCAUGUAUUCUUUUUUUUAAAUUGUUUCCGUCUUUUUGGACAGAUGCCUCGGAUCAUUUUGAAAUCUCAAUCCUCAGUCAUUCACAUGGCCUCAACAAUACCCCCAACUUCACCGACUCCCUAAUCUUGAGGAUUUUGCGUAUACAUUUUGGUUCGAGGUUUCACGAUCAAAAAGGUGAAUUAGGGAAGCUUUUUUUCUUGAACCUAAAGGGUGAAAAAAAUCUUAGAAAGCUUCCAAGCGAAAUUGGUCAUUUAACAUCCCUUGAAAAACUCAUUCAUUCUGGUUGCUCAAACCUUGAUCAGUUGCCUGCAGAAUUGGAAAAGAUGAAAUCUUUAAUUGUUCUCCAUGCAGGCGAAUUGCCGUAAAUGGAGUCUCUCUCUUCAGGUCUUCUGUAUGGAAACCAAGGAAAAACUUUCCAUUGGCUUCUUUAUCAAGCACAUUAGUAAGCUUAAGCACAUUAGUAAGCUUAAGGCUCCGUUUUAAAAGUCAUUUUUUUUUAAACUUGCUAUCAAAAAAGCUAAAAUUAUUUGCCUUUUUUUGCUUUUGUGGUUUUAUUUUAACUAAAACUAAGAAAAAAAAACAGAAAAGCAAAAAAAAAUCAACUCUGAUUGAUUUUUUUACUUAUUUUAAGCAAAAAAGCCAAAAAAAAAGAAAAAAAAAACUUGUGCCAAACGGAGCCUAAGUCUUUCAAAACUGCAAUUUGUCAGAUGAUGAACUUGCAAAAAGUCUGGGUAGCUUUUCGUUGGUGCUGGACUUGAAUCUGAGUAUGAAUCCAAUUUCAAGCCUGCCAGAGAACAUCAAAGGUAUUACAAGCCUCCAGUUGCUUAAUUUAUCUUGUUGCGAACAAAUCCAAUCACUGCCAGAACUUCCAAUGAGUUUAAAAUUGUUGGAUAUGUAGAAAUACCGGUCAUUGGAGACGGUGGAAACUAUUUCCUAACCUGUUUUACCUAUUGUAUUUGUAAUACGUCUUAUUGUGAAAAAUUAGUUGAGGUUCACGGGAUGUUCAAGUUAGAGCCCAUUGGAAUUGCUGAUGCAAAAAAGAUUACAACUUUUGUUUGAUUGAGUUGGAAUCCAUGGAAGUCUUGAGGUGGCAGCAAUAACAAGAGAGCGGGUGCCCCUCGAGAACAAGGCUUAGCCCAAAUGUAAAGGACGGCCUUACCAGACUAGUCUUGGGUUCGACGCACCCCCACCUGGACCCAAAAGGCGCAGUCGCUUCGGGUGGACAUCAGGUACCGAGCUAACACACUGGAGAUAUCACGUUCCUUUUCCUGGUGGCUCUUCCUGGGUGGCUCGUCGCAUAUUAUUCCGAGCUAAAACCUGAGAUAUCCACGUUCCUGGUGGCUGCGUCGCAUAUUCGCGGUAUAAAUCCUGAGGUGUGAAGGCUAGCUGCUUAGGGUACAAAAUUAAAGUCUGGGUGGGUCCUAUGCCUAUCUAGACACUAGGUGGUUAAUCAAAAAAAAUAGAAACGGGUUCCUCAACAUCAUUAAUGUGGGUUUCCACUCCCUAAUCUUAAGAUUAGGAGCCCUUGAAAGUUACGUUAAUCUAUGCAUUUGGCUGUUGAGUCUAGCCCUCUGGAUGAAUCUAAAUCACACUUGGAUGAAUCCCGUCCAGUAGCCAAGCUCAAGCCCGAUUGGAGUUCAUAUGGGUGUCCAUGUGACGUGAAACUCUCGAGUUAUAUCUAGAACUCUUGGAGAGUGUUUAUCUAUUUUUUUGUUUUCCUAGUUAGAUUAGGAUAACAAUUAGGUAUUUUGUUUAAGGAGUCUAUCACCUCCUUCCCUUGGUCAUAAAAGGGAGGAUAGAGUGCUUAGAUUUUCUGUGUGCGCGCUACGUGCGUUGUGUUGUAGGCGGCUAAGAGCGGAGUAUUGUGAGGUGAGAUUGAGAGGCAAGACAGAGAGAGGGUGUGAGUUGAGCGAUCGAGUCUUCUCAGUUGUAAUUCAUUCGUUCGAAUAGUGGAUUGGUGAUUUCUCUCUGUGGACGUAGACAUCGUUGGCCAAACCACGUAAAUCUUUGUUGUCUUGAGUGUGUGAUUGAUAAUUAGUUUUGAGCACAACCUUGGCAACGAUACAAGCUAUUAGACUGGCAAGGAUAGUUAUAACUAAUAAAUGACCAAAAUGGAGAAGUCAAACUUGAUUUAUCGUAAUCAGCACUAAGAUCAAGGGUCUGAAGUGGAGGUAGGGCCAACAUUCAAUCCAAUUCCGCUGACAAGUAAGUGGAUGGUUAAGCCCAUUGGGAGAAUGGGGAAUGGGCGGCAAGGAUGAAAUGGAAACGUCUCGGUGCUUUUUGAUGAUCCAUUCAGUCAAAGGAAGUUCAGAGUUAACAUUGUGUACUAUGAGGAUGAAGAAUAGGUUGCCAAAACCACAUACCUAGCCAGCUCGUCAGGAUGGCAUCAUGUGUUGGAGAUUUAGCACCAAUAUCUUAAGUGCAAGAGAAUACUUGCUAUCCGUCAUUGUGAAUCAUCGCUAUAAUACUACUACUGAAACUACAUGUGGUCGUAUCCUUAAUUUGGUCAAUAAAAUGUAGUGAAAGUAGUUGUAUCAUUGAUAAAUAAAUUAGUGUGGAAUCAGGGGUGGCCCAGCAGGAGCUGUACCCUCUUUUGACUUUUAGAAAUUAUAAAAAAAUUUCUUUUAAAUUUUUUUUUUACACUUUAACUCCCCUUAAAAUAAAUUAAAUUUUUUUUUACACUAUGGCCCCCUGGAAUAAAAUUCUAGUUCCGCAACUGAAUAUAAUCAUAUAUAAACAUAAUAAUCCUAACUUCGAGUUUUAUGCACAUCCACUAUCCAGGCUAUACUAGUCAUCUUGACACUUGAAAUUGGUGAUGCUAUAACAGUCUCUUUAGUAGUGAACUGUGAAAGUGUAGUACAAUAAAUGAGUGUGACACUCGAUAUAUGGACUUUCAGGUAAAGUAAACUUUGCCUCUCAAAAUAAUGACAAAAAUGAUCUUGUUUUGCACAACAAGGUUACUUCUAUACAAGGGUAUUUUAGCCUUUUUUUUUCUUAAUUUCACAGUGAAAUGACGUCAAUGAGGUAUGUCCGCCGCACAUGAGUAACACAGCGGGGCAAAAGCGAAUUUUUCCCGUUAACCUUGUUUUCUAUUACAAGGUCAUCACAUGGAUUACAAGAUCACUAUACAGAUGCGAAUUAAAUGUGUCAUCAAGUCUAACAAUAUACAUAAUAGAAAAAGUGCCUCAUCAUUAUUUUCUAGGCAGCUAUAGGUGGUGAAUAACUACUCUUGUGCAUAAGUUUGUAAUGGGAGAUAAUGCUUCAUUUCCAAUGUCUUCCUUUAUCCAACUAUUUUUUUCCUUUUUUAACAUUCAAUAAGGUAAACGGUAUGAUACAUUGGUUGAUGCCAAAACAAAACAAAAAAUAGCGGAAUCAUAUUUAAAUGUAAAUACAAUAAUAAAUAAACAGUUAACCAUCGCAGCAGGAAUGGAUAAGAGACACAAGAAAAAACAUGAGAACCACUCGCACACCUUCCUAAUACACUGAACUAGGAUCUUGCUAACCACAACCUAGCGGGAUGUGGUUAAGGUUAAUUAAGCCAAGUCCAAAAAGUUAGGAAAUGUUUGGUAACGUUUUUAUUUUUUUAUUUUUUUUGUUUAUUUAAUUUUUAUUUUGUUUUGUUUAUUUUUUUGUAAAAUAAAAACUAAAAAUAUGUUUGUGUUCAUUUAUUUUUAAAUUAUUUAAAAACAAACAUAUGUUUGUGUUUACUUUUUUCAAAACUAUUUUAAAAAAAGGUGGAGGUGAUGGUGGUGGAGGAGGAGGUGGUUGGAGGUGGAAGUGACGGUGGAGGUGGUGGUUGGUGGUGGCGGCUGACUGUGGUUGAGGAGGUGGUGGUGGUGGUUGGAGUUUUUUGUUUUAGUGGGAGGGUUGUUGUUUUUUUUGCUUCGUUUGCCUGUUUUUUUUUGUUUUCUUCGUUUUCCCUUUUUUUUUUUUUUCUUCUUUUUUUUUUUUUUCUUUUUUUUUCCUUUUCUCUUUUUUAUUGUUUUCUUCUUUCCUUUUCAUUUUUUUUUUUUUUUCUUCUUCUGUUUUUUUUUUUUUUUCUCCUUUUUCUUUCUUUUUAUUUUUAUUUUUUUCUUCCUUUUUUGUUCUUUUUGCUUUUUUUUCCCUUUUCCCUUUUCUUUUCCUUUAUCUUUUUCCUUUGUUUUUUUUUUUCCUUCCCUUUUCUUUCUUUUUCUUUUUUGUUUAUUUUCCUUUUUCUUUCUCUUUUCUUCUUUUUUUGUACGUUCUUCUUUUUCUUUUUCUUUUUCUUCUUUGUUUAUUUCUUCUUUUUUUUUUUUUUUCUCUUUUUUUUGUGGUGGCGGUGGUUGGAGGUGGUGGGUUGAAAAAUUUAGAUAAAAAAAUUUUGAAAUGAAAAAAUUUUUGUAAACAAAAUAAAUAAUUUUUUUUUUUAUUUUCACUAUUUUCAAAAAUCGUGAAAGUUGUUUAGGCCUUGUUUUUAAUAUUUUUUUUUUUUCAACACCAAAAACAAAUUUUUGUUUACAUUUAUUUUCAAAAACAGAAAUAAACAGAAAACAAAAUAACAGUUACAAAUAAAAACCCUUGGUAUUCCAAUCCCAUUCACAAUUCCAAGAUAAAUUACUAUAUCUAUAUCUUUUUUUCACCCAUAAAUCGAGGCUAAACCACCGGCCCAUUGCUGUACUGUAUCAAAACAAGACAUUUCACAUGCAAUACAUACGAAAGAAAUGACUGUAGUGAACAAAGAAAUGAAUAAGUGCAUAAAACACAGUAACCCAGACUUAGAAGAGGUUUCUCUUAUCAAUCUUUUGCCUUGGCCCAAUCCUGCCACAUUGAAGGGCUCAUUGGAAACAAGGCACUCAUGCCUCUCUCGCUCGCCGCAAGCUUCUCAAUGUCCCCAUGUUUCCUCAGAGCUCUAUGAACUCACAAGAACAAAGAGGCCAGCAAGCAAACAAACCCAUCAUAGUACAUCAAUACAAACAAUACGAAAUCAGUAUAUAUUGAACUUAGAGGAGAGAGUGAAUACUUGGACAUGAGAGACAUAAGUUGGGGGUGAUAAAGUCAACGUAAUUAUAUAUUUUUAUCCUUUAUUUAUAUUAUUAGUUGUAUUUAAUUAUUUAUUUAUUGUUUUUAUGUCAGAUUAACAAAAAAAGCAAAAUGAGAGUUUAGUCCGGUCAAAAUAGAAACUAAAAAGUGCAAGGGAGUUGUAAUGGGCCAUCCCACUUCUAUAGGAGAAACGGAAGGAAGAAAGAAAGAAAAUGUGGACUAUUGGUUUAAAAAAUAUACGGUUCGAAAUUGACUUAAGUAGUAGAGAUAAAGUUAGGGACCUUCUUCUGUGAUAACUUUUGAUCUUGGAUAUAUUUUUUUUAGGAGAGGAGUACGGGAGAGAGUUGGGGAGAAAAAAAAAGAGUUAGAUAGAUAGGAGUAGGAGUUGGAUAUAUUUUUUCUGGGCUCACUUUCAACACAAAGUUUCAGGUUAUUUCUUUCUUUCUUUUAUUAUUUUAAAUUAAAUUUAGUAAUAUUUAUUGUUUAAGUUUAGAUCUAUUUAUUUUUGUUCGACAUUAUUGCAACUAGAUUAGAAUUUUUUUGUUUCUUAUAUUUUUUUACAUUGUUGCACUAGAUUAGAGAUUCUUUUAUAGUUUUUUUAUUCAAGAUAAUUUUAUAAUUAAUCAUAUUUGUAUUAAUUAAAGUUUUAUUUUUUUAUUAAAUAUAUCUGGCUUAGAUUUAGGGAUUAGGUUAGGUGAACUCGCUUUAGAAACUGAAUAUUCCCGAAUUCCUCAAAGGUGGGUUGUCUAAUUUAAUAAAAUAAUCAAAUCAAUUUUACAUAAUCGUUUUCAAGAGAUCUGAAAUUUAUGGUGUAUUUUACGGGUAAAUUAAGAGUUUUGUUAAAAUAUAGUUAGUUUCCUGCAUUCUAAUUGGUAGCCCAAAAGAUAUAUUUUGAACUUCAAUCAGAAUUGUAAAAAUUUAAACGAGUUAUGAUCGAUGUUAAUUCAGUACGCGGUGUGAUAUUUAUGAUUAGAACUUGUGUUAGAAUUGUUAUGUUCGGCCUUAAUUCAGUUUUUUUAUUAAUACACUUAACCCCUGUCACCACAAUUGUCCAGAUUUUAAUUAUAAGAUUAGUUUAAAUUGUACGAUUUACAUUUCCUAACUGAAUUAAAUUAAUUUUUAAUUGUUAAAUAUUCCGAUUAGGCCUACAUUUCCCGUAGAAACCUAAUUGAAAUAAAUGAGAAUUAGGAAAUAGGAAAUUAGGUUGGUUGAGAACUGGAGGGAUCUUGGUUUGCCAUUGUCAAUUACAAUUUCAUCCCAACACCCUUUUAAAAAUUAUAAUUUCUACCCGUUUAACUUCUAAUCUUUCAACGAUUAUUCUAAGUAUUUAAUACGUUGCCAAAAGCUCCUGAGGAUUUGAUCUCGGUCUUCCGAGUUAUUUAUCUGUGAUUAUCCUAUAAUUCCCAGCGAACAAGUGGGGGGUUUGGGAAGUUCACUUUCUGGUUUUGUCUUUGGAGGAGCUUUUGUGCUUCGUCACCGAGUUGGAGUCGGAUCGGUAUCGGUACAGGCGUUAGGGUUUUGAAUUCGGUUUUUAGUUUGAGAUUGGUGUUUGCCCGAUCAUCACUCGUAGAGAUUUGGGGGGGGUCUCCGACAAAUUUGAGGGUUUCUCCAUGUCUUGAAGCUUCUCUAUCUGUUGACAGUGUGAGCAUGAGCCUAGUUAUAAUGCAAUGUUUGGGAAGGGGAAACGUGGCUUUCUUUACAGUAAUCUAAAUAUUUUGGGCCUCCGGAUAUGGGCUUUGGGCGACAGUUUAACCUAGACUGUUUGAUGUCCAAGAGAUUGGGAAGUGAUCCGCAUUGUGGCCCAUAACAAAUGGCGCCGGUGUUUUGUUGUUAGCCCAAUCACCUAACUU